GCUUAACACAUGCAAGUCGAGGGGCAGCAUGGUCUUAGCUUGCUAAGGCCGAUGGCGACCGGCGCACGGGUGAGUAACACGUAUCCAACCUGCCGUCUACUCUUGGACAGCCUUCUGAAAGGAAGAUUAAUACAAGAUGGCAUCAUGAGUCCGCAUGUUCACAUGAUUAAAGGUAUUCCGGUAGACGAUGGGGAUGCGUUCCAUUAGAUAGUAGGCGGGGUAACGGCCCACCUAGUCUUCGAUGGAUAGGGGUUCUGAGAGGAAGGUCCCCCACAUUGGAACUGAGACACGGUCCAAACUCCUACGGGAGGCAGCAGUGAGGAAUAUUGGUCAAUGGGCGAGAGCCUGAACCAGCCAAGUAGCGUGAAGGAUGACUGCCCUAUGGGUUGUAAACUUCUUUUAUAAAGGAAUAAAGUCGGGUAUGGAUACCCGUUUGCAUGUACUUUAUGAAUAAGGAUCGGCUAACUCCGUGCCAGCAGCCGCGGUAAUACGGAGGAUCCGAGCGUUAUCCGGAUUUAUUGGGUUUAAAGGGAGCGUAGAUGGAUGUUUAAGUCAGUUGUGAAAGUUUGCGGCUCAACCGUAAAAUUGCAGUUGAUACUGGAUAUCUUGAGUGCAGUUGAGGCAGGCGGAAUUCGUGGUGUAGCGGUGAAAUGCUUAGAUAUCACGAAGAACUCCGAUUGCGAAGGCAGCCUGCUAAGCUGCAACUGACAUUGAGGCUCGAAAGUGUGGGUAUCAAACAGGAUUAGAUACCCUGGUAGUCCACACGGUAAACGAUGAAUACUCGCUGUUUGCGAUAUACUGCAAGCGGCCAAGCGAAAGCGUUAAGUAUUCCACCUGGGGAGUACGCCGGCAACGGUGAAACUCAAAGGAAUUGACGGGGGCCCGCACAAGCGGAGGAACAUGUGGUUUAAUUCGAUGAUACGCGAGGAACCUUACCCGGGCUUAAAUUGCAGAUGAAUUACGGUGAAAGCCGUAAGCCGCAAGGCAUCUGUGAAGGUGCUGCAUGGUUGUCGUCAGCUCGUGCCGUGAGGUGUCGGCUUAAGUGCCAUAACGAGCGCAACCCUUGUUGUCAGUUACUAACAGGUUCCGCUGAGGACUCUGACAAGACUGCCAUCGUAAGAUGUGAGGAAGGUGGGGAUGACGUCAAAUCAGCACGGCCCUUACGUCCGGGGCUACACACGUGUUACAAUGGGGGGUACAGAGGGCCGCUACCACGCGAGUGGAUGCCAAUCCCCAAAACCUCUCUCAGUUCGGACUGGAGUCUGCAACCCGACUCCACGAAGCUGGAUUCGCUAGUAAUCGCGCAUCAGCCACGGCGCGGUGAAUACGUUCCCGGGCCUUGUACACACCGCCCGUCAAGCCAUGGGAGCCGGGGGUACCUGAAGUGCGUAACCGCGAGGAGCGCCCUAGGGUAAAACUGGUGACUGGGGCUAAGUCG
rnacentral:rRNA from 1 species